rnacentral:rRNA from 1 species
UUUAACUUUUUUUAAAAGUCUUUAUAUCGCUGUCUUUAGGUGUAAAUUUUAACUUACACCCUCUCAAGUCUCUUUUUACGUCAAGUCGAGAUAAAGCCCAUAAAAAAGGGAGCCGAGUUACUAAUACUUGUAUUUAAGUUUACCACUUUAAAAUCUACUAAAUCUAGGAUUUAAAAGUAAUAAAUUAAUAAUCUUUCUUUAUGAAACAGAAUUUUAGGUGUACAUAUCGCCCGUCACCCUCGUCCAAAGAUGAGGUAAGUCGUAACACAGUUAAUAUACUGGAAAGUGUAUUAAGGG